GUAAAGUGGCCUUUUUCACCUUGGUUAUGCUACUGGCUGUGGUGUCAUUGAAUUGCAACGCCAAUAGGACAGAGCUGUUUAUUGCAUCUCUAUUGCCUAGAGCCAGUUAUGACCAUAUUGAACUUGGAAUAGAGCUUGCCAUUGAAGCAGCUGAAAACUCCUCGGAAUUCAGAGAUUUCCUUGACAAGUACAAAAUCAAUGUCGAGACUUAUUACACAAAGGGAAAGGAAACCAAUGCCAUCUUUAUCUCUACGUAUGUAUUAGGAGAUAUCCCGGGGGGGAUACGCAUUGCUGGUACUCGGACCUCAAACGUCUUCUGAGGCAUCUUCAGUUCUCAAGACUGUACGAUUUUAUAGAAAAUUAAUGGUAACAUAUUUGACAACAAGUGCCGACAUAAAGGAAACAGUAGAUCCAUACGGAAUCACAUUUGCUCCAACCCAGUUUACCUUCAACAAAGCUAUCGUGAAAAUAAUGAACCAUUUUAAAUGGAAAAGAGCUGCACUCGUAUAUGACUUUUUG